GAUGAACGCUAGCGGGAGGCCUAACACAUGCAAGCCGAGCGGUAUUUGUUCUUCGGAACAGAGAGAGCGGCGUACGGGUGCGGAACACGUGUGCAACCUGCCUUUAUCAGGGGGAUAGCCUUUCGAAAGGAAGAUUAAUACCCCAUAAUAUAUUUUACGGCAUCGUGAAAUAUUGAAAACUCCGGUGGAUAAAGAUGGGCACGCGCAAGAUUAGAUAGUUGGUGAGGUAACGGCUCACCAAGUCAAUGAUCUUUAGGGGGCCUGAGAGGGUGAUCCCCCACACUGGUACUGAGACACGGACCAGACUCCUACGGGAGGCAGCAGUGAGGAAUAUUGGACAAUGGGUUAGCGCCUGAUCCAGCCAUCCCGCGUGAAGGACGACGGCCCUAUGGGUUGUAAACUUCUUUUGUACAGGGAUAAACCUAGAUACGUGUAUCUAGCUGAAGGUACUGUACGAAUAAGCACCGGCUAACUCCGUGCCAGCAGCCGCGGUAAUACGGAGGGUGCAAGCGUUAUCCGGAUUUAUUGGGUUUAAAGGGUCCGUAGGCGGAUUUGUAAGUCAGUGGUGAAAUCUCACAGCUUAACUGUGAAACUGCCAUUGAUACUGCAGGUCUUGAGUAAAGUAGAAGUGGCUGGAAUAAGUAGUGUAGCGGUGAAAUGCAUAGAUAUUACUUAGAACACCAAUUGCGAAGGCAGGUCACUAUGUUUUAACUGACGCUGAUGGACGAAAGCGUGGGGAGCGAACAGGAUUAGAUACCCUGGUAGUCCACGCCGUAAACGAUGCUAACUCGUUUUUGGGCUUUCGGGUUCAGAGACUAAGCGAAAGUGAUAAGUUAGCCACCUGGGGAGUACGUUCGCAAGAAUGAAACUCAAAGGAAUUGACGGGGGCCCGCACAAGCGGUGGAUUAUGUGGUUUAAUUCGAUGAUACGCGAGGAACCUUACCAAGACUUAAAUGGGAAAUGACAGAUUUAGAAAUAGAUCCUUCUUCGGACAUUUUUCAAGGUGCUGCAUGGUUGUCGUCAGCUCGUGCCGUGAGGUGUUAGGUUAAGUCCUGCAACGAGCGCAACCCCUGUCACUAGUUGCUAACAUUAAGUUGAGGACUCUAGUGAGACUGCCUACGCAAGUAGAGAGGAAGGUGGGGAUGACGUCAAAUCAUCACGGCCCUUACGUCUUGGGCCACACACGUAAUACAAUGGCCGGUACAGAGGGCAGCUACCAGGUGACUGGAUGCAAAUCUCGAAAGCCGGUCUCAGUUCGGAUUAGAGUCUGCAACUCGACUCUAUGAAGCUGGAAUCGCUAGUAAUCGCGCAUCAGCCAUGGCGCGGUGAAUACGUUCCCGGGCCUUGUACACACCGC
rnacentral:rRNA from 1 species